rnacentral:rRNA from 1 species
UGGGGAAUAUUGCACAAUGGGCGAAAGCCUGAUGCAGCGACGCCGCGUGAGGGAUGACGGCCUUCGGGUUGUAAACCUCUUUCAGCAGGGAAGAAGCGAAAGUGACGGUACCUGCAGAAGAAGCACCGGCUAACUACGUGCCAGCAGCCGCGGUAAUACGUAGGGGGCAAGCGUUGUCCGGAUUUACUGGGCGUAAAGAGCGUGUAGGCGGCCACGCAGGUCCGUUGUGAAAACUGGAGGCUCAACCUCCAGCUGUCGACGGAAACCGUGUGGCUAGAGUCCGGAAGAGGAGAGUGGAAUUCCUGGUGUAGCGGUGAAAUGCGCAGAUAUCAGGAAGAACACCAAUGGCGAAGGCAGCUCUCUGGGACGGUACUGACGCUGAGACGCGAAAGCGUGGGGAGCGAAC